AUCCCAGUCAUUACAGUGAACACAAACUAGACACAUUUAAUUCAUUAAAAGCUCAUUUUUUCACUUUUAUUGUGUGUUUAAUUGAUCAGAGUAGGUAGUAAAUGCAUAAUUCUCUCCAUUAGUUGAUAAAGUGAGUUGAGUCUGAUAUUCACACGGUUAAUAAAUCAAGUCUUGUUUAUUAUUGUAGUGCUUCACAAUAAACGGCUUCAUUUCAAUGUGUGAUGAUAUAAACUCAAGUGAUUCUAGAGCUGACUGAAGACAUGACUGUGUGUUCACACUAACACAUGUUCACUUGUUCAUAUGUUUCAUGUGUGUGUGAUUCUUUACAGAUUUUCGUCCUCCAAAUCAGAUCAAGAAGAACUCAGACACUGGUGAUGGAACAGAACUGAACAAACAGAGAUCAGAUUCAGCAGGAACUAAUGGAAAUGAAUCAACAACUGUUGUGAUGCCUUGACUGAAUGAAGCAGAAUAUGUUUGAUCAGCUGAUAGAUGCUCAACGUUACAUCAUCAACAUCUACAGUAACAAAACUGUUUUACUACCUCAUGAUCCGUCCUCUUUAAAAGAUCAACUCAUGUGUGCUGUUGAGCUCAAGUGAUAAAAGCUUUUAAAGCUAAAGUUACACGGUUUUGAUAGACAACAUAAACUUUCAUUUAUUUGUCGUUGACAUUGAUCAAUGAUCAGAAUCUGUUUAUCUUUUUAUAUUUCAUGUCUGUUACUCACUGCAUAGCAUGUUAUCACUUUGACUCUCAUGUGUUUGAUAUUGUGUGAUUAUAGACAGUAUUGAUUUAAUAUCUGAUGAUGAUGAAAUAUCAGAUAAACCUGGAGAACAUCUUCAGUCUUUCUUUAACCCGUCUCUAAUCUGCUUUAUACACUUUUAUAUAACAACUAACACCAAAAACAAGUUCAUGUUGAUGACAAUCUGUGUUUAUCAUGUGAAGAAGAUUCUAGAAAAUACACGUGAGAAACAUCUUGACCAUCAAGUGUUAGAUUGUGAUGUCUGUUCUGUUUUUAUUGUUAAAGAUUAUUUUAGUCUUUCAUUUACAGUAUCAUUUGAUUCAAUAUGUGCCUAUAUUGUGUUUUUGUAACUCAACUGUUUUUUGCUUAAGAAAAUCUGUUCUCUGAUCAGAUCUGAAUUCAGACUCUCAGUACAGAUAUAAAAAAACUUCAUGAAGCACUUGACUGAAUAACUCCUACCUUAUUGCUCUUGAAAGAAUAGCUUUGUACAAAAGCAAAAAAUGUGACACAGUUAUAAUUGUGUUGUGUUCUGCUUUGAAUGAAUCUCAUGUUUAUUUGACUGCUGAUAUCAGCUAAAUGAAAACAGUAUUGAUAAGUGUUUGCGUCUGAUCAUUUCUGUCCUCUGGUGGAUACACUGAUCAUUUAGUAAUGGCUGUUUUAACAGUAAACACAUGCUAGUUUUGUUUAACAUGCUUCAAUGUGUUUAACUAUAUACACAAUGUAUGUCAUUAUUAAUAAACAAAUAAAACGUCAA